UCAAGUGAAGGUUUGUUGGGCCUAUUUCGUUGGAAAGUGGAAACCAUGUUCUCCCCUCCUAUGGUUAGGCGACCCCCUCUCUCUGAACAUCACCUACGUUGUAGCCGGCCAGAACCCAUCUCUGAACAUCAUCUACAUCAUCUCACCUCAUCCCCUUGCAAAUCGUACUUCUGCUAUACCCUAGCUAUUGCAUGCGCUCCAUGUGCUCUACUCUUCUCUAGGUCGUCCUUCCUGUAUCUCUUUGCUGGAUUUUCCUUGCACGGUUCAAGCUUCGAUGUAACCCUCCAUCAGUGAUCUAUGAUCUAUACUACACCCUACCUCGAAAACCAGCUAUUGAUUCUGCUUUCCAGGUUGUGUGGCUACACUCUAGAUUAGAUUUCAGAAAGCUAGCUCUUAAUUCUUCUUUACAGGAACAAUGCAAUGCAAUGGGUGUGUGGUCUAAGAUAAAAGGGAAGCAGACAGGAUUUAGGGGUUUCCGGGCCAUUGGGCAGUCUGUUGAGAAGAGAAAAUCAGCUUCAACAGUAUGUCCUCCCUCUCCUCCUCCACCAAAGGUAGUAAAAGGUGAAUCACUCACUACCACUGAAGGUGGCGCCGCUUCAUCAGGGUUGCAUUGAGAGGAUUGGGAAGGUGUUUCCUACUAUCUGUUUCUAUUUAUGUUCUGAUAACUUUUCUGCAUUGCAAAUGGAGGGUAGGUUGGCUGAUGAGCUUUAUGCUGAAAGUUUACAACUAUCAAAAUUAUAGCUAACAUCAACAAGUGCUCAUGAACAACAAAAUAAGUUUAAUGGAGAAAUAACUUGAAGCAGUAGGUUGGAGGACAAAUUUGAAUCAUUUCUUUUCAUCAGGUCAUUGCUAUUAUUGCAAGAUUGAGAAUGAGUAUGGGAAACAGAGUAAGCUAUUUGGAUCUGCUGGCCAAAGUUCUGUGAGUUGUGCUGCAAAAUUGGUUGUUAACAUAGGGACUGUGGUUCCAUGGAUAAUGUGCAAGGAAAGUGAUGCACCAGAUCCAGUGAUGUGACUAACCAAUUGGACUGCUCAUAUGGCAAGCUAUCUAACAGAAACUCAGGACUACGUGGUUGUUCCCAGGCGGUUUAUAAGGAACCACCCACAUGUUCUAGAUGCUGCCAAGGUUGUACUUUCGGACCCUAAUGGAAAUACUUACCAUGUUGAAGUGAGGGUUGAGCCAAAUGAAGUGCGUUUUGAAGGAGGAUUUGAAACUAUACGCGAAACACAUAGUUGUUUGUCACUUCCUUCAUACUGUUCAGUUUUGUUCGGGGAACCAACUUCGAUGUCCGCAUAUUUCAUCAUGAUGUUGUGGAAGUUGAUUAUCCAGAAUUUAAUUAAGCACCUCCUCAGAAUGAAGUAUUUUUGUGGACUGCAUACCUCUCCUCACCAUUAUGCCGGGGUAAUCAACCACUGCUGAUACCUGCAUCAGUUGUGUUUGAUUACCUUGACCACCGCCCCCAACGAUAAACAUGAGAUUACCUAAUAGAACCAAUCAGGAAUGACAACUCAUUUGGGACCGGAAGAUGGUUCGACAGUGUAUGAUGGGUGUUGGGUGGUACCAAUUAUGCAGGGCCAAAAAAUUCAACUUAAAUGAUCAGCUGCAUUUCUACAAACUCCCACAGAAUGACACAUUCAAAGUGGUUGUUAUUCGCCACUGAUUAGCAUCGCUUAGGCCAUGCCUAUGUGGAAAAGUUCUAGCUACCAAGUGUCUUUCUUAAGCAUAGUUGUGUACCUCUUUAUUAUAUCACUACCUACCUGGUUCCUAUGUUUUUUUAUUGUAUUUCCAUUGUCGAAGCUUUGAUAAUGUCAAAUAUAUGAUGUCCAUGAACUUGUGUUA